rnacentral:snoRNA from 1 species
CUGCAGUGGAUGAAAGUGACCGGGUUCCCUUGCUCAUGGGUGCCCAGUAUGCCAUGGCUGUGAACAGCAACCUCCUUGGUAGUGUAUGCAGCCUCUUGCUGGUGUAGGUUGCCCUGGGAGACCUUGGGGACACUG